rnacentral:rRNA from 1 species
CCUACGGGAGGCAGCAGUGAGGAAUAUUGGUCAAUGGCCGGAAGGCUGAACCAGCCAAGCCGCGGGAAGGACGAAGGUGCCAAGCAUUGUAAACUUCUUUUGUCAAGGGACAAAAUCAGGCACGAGAGCCUGACCGAGGGUACUUGAAGAAAAAGCAUCGGCUAACUCCGUGCCAGCAGCCGAGGUAAUACGGAGGAUGCGAGCGUUAUCCGGAUUGCUUGGGUUUAAAGGGUGCGUAGGCGGACUGUUAAGUCAGCGGUAAAAGCCCGGGGCGCCACCCCGGCGAGCCGUUGAAACUGGCUGUCUUGAGCUGUCGAGAGGUCUGCGGAAUGCUCGGUUUAGCGG